rnacentral:rRNA from 1 species
UACGUAGGGUGCGAGCGUUAAUCGGAAUUACUGGGCGUAAAGCGUGCGCAGGCGGUUUUGUAAGCCAGAUGUGAAAGCCCCGGGCUUAACCUGGGAAUGGCAUUUGGGACUGCAAGGCUGGAGUGUGGCAGAGGAGACGUGGAAUUCCUGGUGUAGCAGUGAAAUGCGUAGAUAUCAGGAGGAAUACCGAUGGCGAAGGCAGGUCUCUGGGCUAACACUGACGCUCAUGCACGAAAGCGUGGGGAGCAAACAGG